GAAGAGCUUAACAAGGUCCAACAUGGAGACCUGUGUUGAAGAGCUUAACAAGGUCCAACAUGGAGACCUGUGUUGAAGAGCUCAACAAGGUCCAACAUGGAGACCUGUGUUGAAGAGCUCAACAAGGUCCAACAUGGAGACCUGUGUUGAAGAGCUCAACAAGGUCCAACAUGGAGACCUGUGUUGAAGAGCUCAACAAGGUCCAACAUGGAGACCUGUGUUGAAGAGCUCAACAAGGUCCAACAUGGAGACCUGUGUUGAAGAGCUCAACAAGGUCCAACAUGGAGACCUGUGUUGAAGAGCUCAACAAGGUCCAACAUGGAGACCUGUGUUGAAGAGCUCAACAAGGUCCAACAUGGAGACCUGUGUUGAAGAGCUCAACAAGGUCCAACAUGGAGACCUGUGUUGAAGAGCUCAACAAGGUCCAACAUGGAGACCUGUGUUGAAGAGCUCAACAAGGUCCAACAUGGAGACCUGUGUUGAAGAGCUCAACAAGGUCCAACAUGGAGACCUGUGUUGAAGAGCUCAACAAGGUCCAACAUGGAGACCUGGGUUGAAGAGCUCAACAAGGUCCAACAUGGAGACCUGUGUUGAAGAGCUCAACAAGGUCCAACAUGGAGACCUGGGUUGAAGAGCUCAACAAGGUCCAACAUGGAGACCUGUGUUGAAGAGCUCAACAAGGUCCAACAUGGAGACCUGGGU